rnacentral:rRNA from 1 species
UACGUAGGGGGGCAAGCGUUGUCCGGAUUUACUGGGCGUAAAGAGCGUGUAGGCGGCCAAGCAGGUCCGUUGUGAAAACUGGAGGCUUAACCUCCAGACGUCGACGGAAACCGCGUGGCUAGAGUCCGGAAGAGGAGAGUGGAAUUCCCGGUGUAGCGGUGAAAUGCGCAGAUAUCAGGAAGAACACCAAUGGCGAAGGCAGCUCUCUGGGACGGUACUGACGCUGAGACGCGAAAGCGUGGGGAGCGAACAGG